UACGGAGGGUGCAAGCGUUGCUCGGAAUUAUUGGGCGUAAAGGGUAGGUAGGUGGUCUCAUUUGUCUGGGGUGAAAGCCUUGAGCUUAACUCAAGAAGUGCCCCAGAAACGGUGAGACUGGAGUCCUGGAGAGGGUCGUGGAAUUCCCGGUGUAGCGGUGAAAUGCGUAGAGAUCGGGAGGAACACCAGAGGCGAAAGCGGCGACCUGGACAGGCACUGACACUCAGCUACGAAAGCGUGGGGAGCAAACAGG
rnacentral:rRNA from 1 species